GGGAGUGACUUGGCUUCGACAGGAGCAGGUUUGGCUUGACGGCAUGCCGCUUUGAACAGAGCGCAAAAAGUUCAUUAAAUUUAGACGCAAAUAACAAAAAUUUCGCUCCCGCUUACGCUAAAGUCGCGUAAGUUUUAUCCUUAAAGGGAGGCUUUGCACCGUGGAUGCUAUCUAAACGGAUUUAGCAAGGCUCAAAAAUAGAUAGCUUGAUUUGACGCGCAGCUGCCGUUAAAUUGAAAUUUAAGCUUGCGCUUUUGUGUAGUUUUCGCGGAUUGAGUGAAGCAGAGGCAAAGAUAAAAUCAAUCCUUCUAAGCAUGUAGAAAUCAAGCAGGGUCUGUUUUUGGACAGGGGUUCAAUUCCCCUCACUUCCACCA
rnacentral:tmRNA from 1 species